rnacentral:rRNA from 1 species
GAUGAACGCUGGCGGCGUGCCUAAUACAUGCCAGUCGAGCGAACAGACGAGGAGCUUGCUCCUCUGACGUUAGCGGCGGACGGGUGAGUAACACGUGGAUAACCUACCUAUAAGACUGGGAUAACUUCGGGAAACCGGAGCUAAUACCGGAUAAUAUAUUGAACCGCAUGGUUCAAUAGUGAAAGACGGUUUUGCUGUCACUUAUAGAUGGAUCCGCGCUGCAUUAGCUAGUUGGUAAGGUAACGGCUUACCAAGGCAACGAUGCGUAGCCGACCUGAGAGGGUGAUGGGCCACACUGGAACUGAGACACGGUCCAGACGCCUACGGGAGGCAGCAGUAGGGAAUCUUGCGCAAUGGGCGAAAGCCUGACGGAGCAACGUCGCGUGAGUGAUGAAGGUCUUCGGAUCGUAAAACUCUGUUAUUAGGGAAGAACAUAUGUGUAAGUAACUGUGCACAUCUUGACGGUACCUAAUCAGAAAGCCACGGCUAACUACGUG